AAAAAACCUAGAGCUCUAGCAUCCAAAAGCUGCGCAUCAGCUUCAUCCUUUAAGAAAAACAACAGCUCUUUCCUCUUCAACCAAAACACCAAGUGUUAUCCAUGAAAAUACAGCCAUGAACCUCCUUUAGCCACCAGCUAAACACCAUCAAAAUCAGCCCCCUAAAGCUCCCAAAACAGCCCAUAAAUAUCCCCUCUUUCAACCUAAAAAACGCCGCCGAAACAAGCUCUCAAACCCAGCAAAAAUCCAUCCAAAACUAUCCCCAAAUCUUAGCCAAAAACCAGCUGAAAAUCAACUCUAAAACACCCGAAAAUAUCAGCCAAAACACAGCUCAAACAGAUCCAAAAUACAGCUGCAUCGCACCACAAAACCCACGCCACAGUAGCUUCAAAACAGUCCCGAACACUGCUGCGUUUCUGCUUUAGAAAGGUCAAAUUGAUCUCUUUCUUUUCGAAUUCCCGAUGAGUUGCGAGGCUGCCGGAGAGGUGGUUCUGAGGUCGUUCGAGGCGCCGAUGUCGUUGGCAAAUAUUCUGGUCAAGAGUUGUCUAAUUUUCAAGUUGGUUGUAACUUAGGCUCAAAUUCAAUACAAAGGUCUGAUAUUUUAACUCUUCCGCCUAUUUCUUUUUUAUCAACUUCAAUAAUAGCUGCUACUUUGGUUCAGUUUCUCUUUGUUUAAAUGUUUUGAUUUCAAUUUUGCGUUUCUAUGUGGUUAGUUAGCUUUAUGCUUCAUCAUCUUAGUCCUCAAAUCACACAUAAUAAUAUCAAAACCACGAAUCGUCGAUCAAGAUCAAUCACUUAAGUUCAUAAACUUCAAACUUCGAAUCAAGCGUCCGAUUCAAGCCUAACCAAUCAGGAAUGAAUCCAAAUUUGGCAUACAAGUUCGAAAUGACAUAUCGAACCUAUUCUAACUCCCGGAACAAUAAUCCGAACCAGAUAACAUAAAAGUCAACUCUUGGUCAAACUUAUGAACUUUUCAAACCUUUAAAUUGCCAACUUUUGCCAAAUAGUGCCAAAACCUUUUAGAAGCCUCCAAAUUCGGGCAUACACUCAAGUCCAAAAUCACCAUACGGACCUAACGGAACCAUCAAAACUCCGAUUCGAGGUCAAAUACACAAAAGUCAAACUUGGUCAACUCCUUCAACUUAAAGUUUCUAAAAUAAAAAUCAUUCUUCCAAAUCAAUUCUGAAUCACACGAAAUCCAAAAUUGACGACACACGCAAUUUAUAAUACAUCAUAUGAAGCUACUCAUGUCCUCGAACCAUCGAACGGAGUGCAAAUACUCAAAACAACUGAUCGGGUCGUUACAUGGAAUGUAGCUUCCAUGUAGCUUCAGUUGGAAAGUUAUUAUGGCAAUUAAAUGAGAAAAAAGAUCUCUUGUGGGUGAGAUGAGUGCAUGGAGUAUACAUAAAGCAAAAUGAAAAUAUAUGGGAUGAUAAUCCUCCAAUCGAUAACAGUUGGUACUACAGAAAAUUGGAUACCCUUAAGAGUGGAAUGAUGCAAUGGUACCCGAACAGUAGAUAUCAACUUACAACUAAUGGGGAGUACUAACUAAGAGCUAUAAUGUUAUGCUAACAUGUCUAGAAAGAUUAAAGGAGGUUGACUUAAUCUGGAGCAAAGCAAUGCAACCUAAGCACAGGUUCAUUGUUUGGUUAGCCAACCAGAACAAGGUGCUCACAAAAAAGAGGCUCCAAAGGCUCCAUAUUCCAGUGGCAGAUAAUAUAUGUUAUUUGUGUGAUGAAGGAAAGGCAAAAAAUCCACAGCACCUAUUUGUAGAGUGUGCAUGGAUAAGUGAAGUUAGGCAAGGUCUCAGUAAUUGGUCUGGAAUAUAUAUAACUAACAAGGGGUCACACAAUAGUUGCAGUGGAUGAAAAAUAGGAGAUGAAGAAAGAAGUGGUGGCAGCCAUUUAGCGAGCAAUGAUAGACGACACAUGGCAAGCAAGGAAUUGAAGAAUUUUUAGACGCACCAAUGUGAAUACACAGUUUGCAAUUCCACAGAUACAGAAAGAAGUCAAAAUUAGACUAGAGAGUAUACAAACAUCAAAGAAAGCAAAAGAAAUUGUCAAAGUCGGUCCCAGAAAUUAUGUAAUUAGUUAGGUAUUGUUUAUGUUUGUUACUGUUUCUAUUAGUUUGAUUAAAUAGAGGAUGUGUUUUCUUGUUGGUUGAUUGGAGGCCUGGAUGUAGCACCUUGAAAUGGAGGUUGCCAACAUAGGCGCUCAUGACUUGUACAAAAAUUGGUUGUUAAUGGUAAUAUUUCAUAUUUAUUACCACAAACAAAUGUU
rnacentral:lncRNA from 1 species